UCCUCUCUGACUCCUCUGUGCUCCUGCCUGUGACCAGGGUUGACUGAACGCCUGCUGAGAUGUCCUGCCAGCAGAACCAGCAGCAGUGCCAGCCUCCUCCCAAGUGCCUCCCAAAGUGCCCCGCCCCUAAAUGUUCUCCCAAGUGUCCCCCCAAGUGCCCCCCUCAGUGUCCAGCCCCGUGUCCCCCUCCAGUCUCCUCCUGCUGUGGCCCCAGCUCUGGGGGCUGCUGCAGCUCUGGGGGAGGGGGCUGCUGCCUGAGCCACCACAGGCCCCGUCUCUUCCACCGGCGGCGGCACCAGAGCCCUGACUGCUGUGAGGGUGAGCCCUCGGGGGGCUCUGGCUGCUGCGGCAGCUCUGGGGGCUGCUGCUGACCUGCCCAUGCAGAAGCUAUUGGUGUAAAUGAAUGAUCAAGAAGCCUGAUGCUUCCCUCUGUCCACUUCCUCUUGCCCAAUCCUUGGGUUGACAGGGACCACGAAGACUCAUAGAGAUUCCUGGGAAGAACCAUGUGUUUGAUCAGGCAGCCCAAAUUCUCAGCCUGGAUAUGAGUUUUCUUUCCUCCUUCCUUCAUGUUAUAAUAAAGCUCUGCCUUCCUACCCACAAAA